rnacentral:rRNA from 1 species
GGUAUGGGAUGAGCUUGCGUCCGAUUAGCUAGUUGGCGGGGCAACGGCCCACCAAGGCGACGAUCGGUAGCCGGCCUGAGAGGGUGAUCGGCCACAUUGGGACUGAGAUACGGCCCAGACUCCUACGGGAGGCAGCAGUAGGGAAUAUUGCACAAUGGGGGAAACCCUGAUGCAGCAACGCCACGUGUGGGAAGAAGCAUUUCGGUGUGUAAACCACUGUCAUGAGGGAAUAAGGCCCGCCUCCGGGCGGGAUUGAAUGUACCUUGAGAGGAAGCACCGGCAAACUUCGUGCCAGCAGCCGCGGUAAUACGAGGGGUGCAAGCGUUGUUCGGAAUUGCUGGGCGUAAAGGGAGCGUAGGCGGAGAUUCAAGCGGAUUGUACAAUCCCGGGGCCCAACCCCGGCUCUGCAGUCCGAACUGGAUCUCUUGGAUAGUUCAGGGGCAGGC